GAUAGAAAAGGAGUUGCGAUUCGUACUGUGAGAAAAAUCUUUUUGUGGAUUUAAUUUUUUAAAGUAUACUGAUAAAUGCCUUGUUUGUUUUCCUUGUUCUUCUAGCCUCUUGGUGGAAAAUUUCCUCGGUCAAAUUUGAUCACGAUCAGGCCAAAUAAUAAGCGAACCAAACCAAAUCCAGCCUAAUCAUGGCUGAAUCGAAGAAAAAAGCUAGAGGUAGCAGUCGAUCUACGGGCGUCGUCGGUUCUAAGCUAGAUUUUGCGGUUACUGAUCAGUCGUCUUAUAUUUUGCCGGAAGCAAACUGGCUUGCCUCGAUUGCUGCUGCUCAGGACUCCCGACCGGAGAAGCUCCUGCCUGGUUUAUUAGUCACCGGUGGGUCUGUCAACACUGCUCUUGAGAAGCUUGAAUUCAAACAACUCAGACUUCUCAGACUUAUCUACUUACGGGAUCUCGGACGGGAAAUGAUUCCACGUCCAAUCCUCACCUCGAUAGGCUGUUUUAAACAUCUACAUCACUUAAACCUUUCGCAGAGUCCAUCUUUUGAAACCCUGCUCGAUUCAGUCGGUGAUCUGUACUAUCUAGAGCUAUUGAUAUUGACGGACUGCCGUUCUCUGAUUAUGUUGCCACAAAGCAUAGUGAAGUUGAUUAAUUUGCAAUAUCUCUACAUUGAAGGAACUGGGUUGGUGCAGAUGCCAGAAGAAAUGGGCAGAUUAAAACGCCUUAAGAUAUUGACUAAUUUUAUUGUAGGAAAUGGUGGAUCAAAUAUCAAACAGUUGGGGACGCUUCUUGAUCUUCGCGGAUCACUGUCUGUUUCUGGGUUGGAAAAUGUUUCCUCUGCUUUGGAUGCAUCGGAUGCCAAUUUGAAGGCCAAGAGUUAUCUCCAUACAUUGCAGUUGGAAUGGGGCAGCAAUAACAACAAUCCAGCAAAUCAGAGUGCAGUGCUGGAGAAUCUAGAGCCUUCUAAAGGGUUAGAAAUUCUUACCAUUGGAUUUUAUGGUGGUAAGAAGUUCCCUUCUUGGUUGGGAGACUCUUCAUUUUCAAAUAUAGUGUUUUUACGUCUCAGAAACUGCUAUAAUUGCUUAUCGUUGCCACCACUUGGGCAGCUGCCAUCUCUUGUACAUCUCAUUAUUGAACGGAUGAGAAGACUAACCAGCAUUGGCCAUGAAUUCUAUAGGGUCGAGGCAUCCUUUUGUAAACCAUUUCAGUCUCUGAAGAUUUUAGAAUUUAAAAGCAUGUCGCAAUGGGAAGAGUGGAUAUCACUUGAAGAUGAAGAAUUUCCCUGCCUUGAGGAGCUUUAUAUAGCAAACUGUCCAAAUUUUAAGGGGAGUUUACCAAAGACCCUUCCUUCUUUGGCUAAACUGAAGAUCUCUAAAUGUUAUCGGCUUAAGUCUAUACUUCCAAGGACUUCAGAUACUUGUAACAUUGAGUUAUACAAGUGUGGUGAGGUGCACCUGCGAAGUAAUGAUGAUAAUCCAAAGAGAAAUGAUGGUGAAGUAGCAUCACAGCUCCCUCCAAGUACAAGUGAGAUUUUAGUCCUUCCACGUGAUGGCCCUUCAUAUUCCUCAUCAUCUCCUUCUGUGGCUCUUAGAGUGUCAAGUAUGAAAAAGUUAUUGCAAUUGCCGUCACGCUUGCUGAGCCUCAGAAUUGAGAGGUGUGAUGCCCUAGAGUCCUUACCUACAGGUAUACUGGAUAGACCUUAUCUUGAACAUCUGUAUAUCAUUGAUUGUGAUUCACUUAAGACCUUUCCUCAAGUGCAUCAACCCAGUUCAUUGAAAAGACUUUAUAUACGUAACUGCAGAAACUUUCAGUUUCCCCAACCUAAUGAAAUGGCAAAUCACUACAUUCUCCUAGAGCAUUUAUGCUUAGGAAGCAGUUGUGAUUCUCUCAUGACCUUCUUUUUGAAUUGCUUCCCAAAGCUUAAAAUUCUUAGUCUCUGGGACUUAAGAAGCCUUGAGUAUCUUUCAAUAGAGAACAGAUUGCAGAAUGAUCUGAAGUCACUUGAAGCCUUGGAAAUUAGGGACUGUCCUAAUUUGACAACUUUUCCUGAAGAGGGAUUGCUAGCCCCAAGCCUGACAUCACUCAUUUUGUCCAACUGCAACAAUCUCAAGUCAAUGCCAAGACAGAUGCUAGGUCUCAAAUCUCUUCAGACACUGCACAUAAACAAAUGUCUAAAAUUGGAGCCGCCUCCAAUAUGGAGUCUGCCUACCAGCUUAAACAUACUCUGCAUCUCUUUCUGUGACAAAAUGACUCCUCGGAGAGCGUGGCAAUUAGAUAAACUUGAUUCUCUUUGUCAUUUUGAGAUAGAAGGUAGAUGCCUAGAAAUGUUGUCUUUUCCAGAGAAUGGGCUGCUGCCAACCAAUCUCAAUUCUCUACGAAUCAGCAGGCUUUUGAAUCUCGAAUCCCUGGAUGAAAUUGGACUUCAACAUCUCACCUUGCUUCAAACUCUAGAAAUAAACUGUUGUGACAAGCUUCGUUCCUUGCCAGAAGAUGGGCUGCCUUCCUCCCUGUUGUUUCUAAGUAUCACCGGCUGUCUUUCACUGAAUCCAAAGCUUCAAAAGAGGAAAGCAAAGGAAUGGUUCAAGAUAGCUCAUAUUCCUUCGAUCCAUCUUGGUGAGGAAGAUCUUAUUGGCAACUCCCAAUGUCUUGAAGCUGAACAAGUGAAAUCAUCAAGGCAAAUACCAAAGGAGGUCACUGCAAUGGCAGAAAAUGAAGCUGAAAAAUGCAAAUCAGCAGAGGAAGUUAUUGGGUCUUUUACUCAGGAAGGAUGGAAAGGUAAAUCUGCUGGACAUUUUUUGCAGGAAGAUCUUAUUUGCAAAUCCCAAUGUCUUGAAGCUGAACAAGUGAAAUCAUCAAGGCAAAUACCAAAGGAGGUCACUGCAAUGGCAGAAAAUGAAGCUGAAAAAUGCAAAUCAGCAGAGGAAGUUAUUGGGUCUUUUACUCAGGAAGGAUGGAAAGGUAAAUCUGCUGGACAUUUUUUGCAGGAAGAUCUUAUUUGCAAAUCCCAAUGUCUUGAAGCUGAACAAGUGAAAUCAUCAAGGCAAAUACCAAAGGAGAUCACUGCAAUGGCAGAAAAUGAAGCUGAAAAAUGCAAAUCAGCAGAGGAAGUUAUUGGGUCUUUUACUCAGGAAGAACUUAUUUGCAAAUCCCAAUGUCUUGAAGCUGAACAAGUGAAAUCAUCAAGGCAAAUACCAAAGGAGAUCACUGCAAUGGCAGAAAAUGAAGCUGAAAAAUGCAAAUCAGCAGAGGAAGUUAUUGGGUCUUUUACUCAGCAGAAAGAUGAAUGGGUUGAAGGUAAAGUAAAAAAGAAGAAUAGCAUCAGACACUUGGACAAACAAAAAAUGGUGCCGGAAAAUGCAUCAACAUUACGAGGACGAGUUAAGCUCCAGAUGAAGAAUAUGUUUACCCGAAAGAUAGAAAAGACAAAUGAAUGGUUUGAAUGUGAAGUAAGAAAGAAGAAUAGCAUCAGACACUUACUUGGACAAACAAUAAAAGGUGCCGGAAAAUGCAUCAACAUUACGAGGACGAGUUAAGCUCCAGAUGAUGAAUAGGUUUACCCAAAUGAUAAAAAAGCAACUUAAGUGACUCGAGCAUAAGAGUACGCCCUAAAGUACUACUUCCAAUGUCCGCUGAUCUUCCCUUUUGCGACUGGUCUAGCAGAUGCAAUAUGCAGCAAGAAUGGUGGUGUUUCUUAUUAAUAUUCAGAUAUAUGUUCAAGGUGCUUAAGGUUAUGUGUAUAUCAGACAAAAAUCUUAAGGGACCACAAUCAAUGUCUCAGCUUUUACAAAAUAUCAGCCAAACUUCGAGAAUAAAGUGUAACGCAUCAUAAAGACAUUGAGGAUAGAGAGCUACCUGAUCACACACAUAAAGAGAUACAACAUGUAUAAGCUUAACAAACUCACCUCUCUUCAAACAAUUGAAACAAAUUGCAGUAACAAGCUUGAUUCCUUGCCAGAACAAAGGCUGCCUUCUUCCUUGUCUUCUUUGAGUAUCACAGACUGUUCUCCGCUGAAUCCGAACCUUCAAAAUAGGAAAGGGAAGGAAUCGUUCAAGAUAGCUCAUUUUCCUUCCAUCCAUCUUGACGAGGUCGGUGAUUAACACAAUUGCUUGUGGAUUUCAAACAAGGCACACUGCUACAGGUUUGUCAUCUUAGAUUCUUAGUCAGCUUUAUUGUCUUUCAUUUUUCACUGCUGAGGUGGACAGUUUUAGAUGGAACUUUCACUCAAAAUUUUGGAUCCCAUAAAGAAUUCACUGUUAUAAUUCGAUAAUUGUAGAAUUAUAGUUGAUAUGCGCCCCUGCGAAUUUCAAGUUUGUUCCUGUUUUACGUCCAAAGUAAACAUCCAAUGAAGAGAUUGGCAUAAACCUA